GACGAACGCUGGCGGCGUGCUUAACACAUGCAAGUCGAACGGAAAGGCCCUGCUUUUGUGGCGUGCUCGAGUGGCGAACGGGGGAGUAACACGUGAGUAACCUGCCCUUUACUUUGGGAUAACUUCAGGAAACUGGGGCUCAUACCGGAUAUGAGCUCCUGCUGCAUGGUGGGGGUUGGAAAGUUUCGGCGGUUGGGGAUGGACUCGGGGCUUAUCAGCUUGUUGGUGGGGUAGUGGCUUACCAAGGCUUUGACGGGUAGCCGGCCGGGAAGGGUGACCGGCCCAAUGGGGACUGGGAGCCGGCCGAAACGCCUCCGGGGGGAAGGAGGGGGAAUAUUGCACAAUGGGCGGAAGCCUGAUGCAGCAACGCCGCGUGCGGGAUGACGGCCUUCGGGUUGUAAACCGCUUUCGCCUGUGACGAAGCGUGAGUGACGGUAAUGGGUAAAGAAGCACCGGCUAACUACGUG
rnacentral:rRNA from 1 species